AAAAGACAAUGGGGGCGGCUAUAAUGCAGUCGAGCGAGUCCCUUCGGGGGCUAGCGGCGGACGGGUGAGUAACACGUAGGCAACCUGCCUCUCAGACUGGGAUAACAUAGGGAAACUUAUGCUAAUACCGGAUAGGUUUUUGGAUCGCAUGAUCUGAAAAGAAAAGAUGGCUUUUCGCUAUCACUGGGAGAUGGGCCUGCGGCGCAUUAGCUAGUUGGUGGGGUAACGGCCUACCAAGGCGACGAUGCGUAGCCGACCUGAGAGGGUGACCGGCCACACUGGGACUGAGACACGGCCCAAACUCCUACGGGAGGCAGCAGUAGGGAAUUUUCCACAAUGGACGAAAGUCUGAUGGAGCAACGCCGCGUGAACGAUGAAGGUCUUCGGAUUGUAAAGUUCUGUUGUCAGGGACGAACACGUACCGUUCGAAUAGGGCGGUACCUUGACGGUACCUGACGAGAAAGCCACGGCUAACUACGUGCCAGCAGCCGCGGUAAUACGUAGGUGGCAAGCGUUGUCCGGAUUUAUUGGGCGUAAAGCGCGCGCAGGCGGCUAUGUAAGUCUGGUGUUAAAGCCCGGGGCUCAACCCCGGUUCGCAUCGGAAACUGUGUAGCUUGAGUGCAGAAGAGGAAAGCGGGUAUUCCACGUGUAGCGGUGAAAUGCGUAGAGAUGUGGAGGAACACCAGUGGCGAAGGCGGCUUUCUGGUCUGUAACUGACGCUGAGGCGCGAAAGCGUGGGGGAGCAAACAAGGAUUAGAUACCCUGGUAGUCCACGCCGUAAACGAUGAGUGCUAGAGUGUUGGGGGUUUCAAUACCCUCAGUGCCGCAGCUAACGCAAUAAGCACUCCGCCUGGGGAGUACGCUCGCAAGAGUGAAACUCAAAGGGAUUGACGGGGGCCCGCACAAUCGGUGGAGCAUGGGGGUUUAAUUCAAAGCAACCCGAAGACCCUUACCUGGUCCUGACAUCCCGCUGACCGGCUUCUGAAGAACAGAGGCUCCCCGUCAGGGCACCAGUGGACAGGUGGUGCCAUGGGUUGGC
rnacentral:rRNA from 1 species